GACCGGUCACUCUUCAUGGACACACAGCUGGGUCCAGGUCCAGCAGAGUGGUGUCCACCUUUGAAGACAAUAGGUUUGUCCAUAGACCAGUCACUCUUGAUGGACACACAGCUGGGUCCAGGUCCAGGUCCAGGUCCAGGUCCAGCAGAGUCUGGUCCCUGCUGCUGCUCUGGGCU